UUAUCAAAAUUUUUAUAUUUAAUUUAUUUGAUAUAUAAUUUAUUUGGUAUAUAUUAUAGUAUUAUAAAAAAUAUAAGAUAACACCGAAAAUAUUAUCGAGCGGGAUGGUGUGUAUGCUGGAUACUGAAGGCGACUAAUUUUGUAUAUUAUAUAAAAUUAUAAGUUUACCCCUCCAACACCUGAAACUUUUUCAAUAUGUCAUUUUAAAAAUUUCAAUUUAAAAUUUUGAAUUGUCAAAUAGUAAAUUUCAAAGUUUGAAUUUUAAUUUUCAAAUUUUAAAUUUUUUAUCUUCAAAUUUUAAAUUUUAUACUUUUGUUAAAAUUUAAAAUUUAAAAUUUAAAAAAUUUAAAUUAUUUAAAAUAAAAUUUAGUAAAAAAAAUUAUUUUUGUAACCAGUAAAAAAAAGUUUGCAAAAUAUGGCUAAAGGCAAUUUUAGAAUAGAUUAUACUUUAUUGUCAAGAUUACUGAAUUUUAUAAACUGAACCAAUUAUAGUAAUGCUAUAAAUACUGCAAUCCAGUAUUAUAUUACCGCAUUAAACCAAACGCGCUAAUUCAGCGUCAGUAGUAAUCUUAUUUAAAAAUACAAGAUAUCUGCAUAUAUCAAAAUAUUUUGUAAUAUUAUAUAACUCGAACAAACGCGCCCUCAGUGAUUUCCCUAGGGACUCUUUUCAAACUAGUAAAAAGUUGUAAACUUGUAAGAUACAAUAUAUUUGGACAACCACACCUUACAUGAUUUUAGCAUCAAAACUAUAAUUUUUGGAUGACAUUUGGAUUGAGGAAUCUCUAGAUCCAACAUAAUUCAAGUGCAAUGGUGUUUGAAUUUUUCUAAAUUGUAGUUAUUUUGUUGCUUAUUUUGAUAUAACUCAUACAAUCUGAAAGUUAAAUUCAAUAACUUUUUCUAUUUGUUUCGGCGUAACUUGAUAUUGGUAAAAUUAGUUUUUGAAUUUUUAUUGUUUAUUUUGAUGUAAAUAAGCGGAUUCUGUUAUCUCCUAAAUAUAAUUGUAAACUUAUCCUAUAAAAUCCAACCUAUUAAUAAUUAAAUCUUUCAGUAUUAUUUGGAAGUAAUAAUAACUCACUGUAAAAAAAAGAAAACUAUAAUCCAGUCUAAAGGAAAUAGAGUUUAGAUUUUAAUAUUUAAUAAAUUUUUAAGGCUCGGUUUGGUUCGGGGUUAAGUAAGAACUAGUUAUUUCAGGGAUAGGAUUAAGUUCAGGAUUAAGAUGAGGUUAGAGUAAUUUUGUAUUUGGUUGAGAAUUGAAUUUAUGUAAUAUACUGGACCUUUGCAAAUUGCGAGGUUCGAGUGAUUGGAUGUGUUCUGAAUUUUUUCAGACUUUCCGGUGGGUUGUAGACAGUGUUCCGACCUAUGAUUCGAACCCCAAGGAUUGAGGUCUGAAGCCUAGCACCAAAACUUGAAAAAUCGGAUUUUUGGUUAGCUCUCGGGUAGCCCUUAUUGGGCUGUGUACCGGUACAGGGUUGAUGGCUGUACCGGUACAGGGUUGAUAGCUGUACCGGUACGCGGGCUCGUGUACCGGUACACAAGUAGUUUUGAGGCCAACCCGAGGCUCGGGUUUGGCAUUUUCGUGGGAUGUGUACCGGUACGUGGGCUCGUGUAUCGAUACGCAGUGGCAGUUUUUGAGCAGUUUGAACUGUAGGGGGUUUUUCGUAUUUGUGGCCUUCUAUUUAGCUCCCCACGCCCUUAGGGCUCUCCCCUGAGCUGAGAAGGG
rnacentral:lncRNA from 1 species